GACGAACGCUGGCGGCGUGCCUAAUACAUGCAAGUAGAACGCUGAAGGAGGAGCUUGCUCUUCUGGAUGAGUUGCGAACGGGUGAGUAACGCGUAGGUAACCUGCCUGGUAGCGGGGGAUAACUAUUGGAAACGAUAGCUAAUACCGCAUAAGAGUAGAUGUUGCAUGACAUUUGCUUAAAAGGUGCAAUUGCAUCACUACCAGAUGGACCUGCGUUGUAUUAGCUAGUUGGUGGGGUAACGGCUCACCAAGGCGACGAUACAUAGCCGACCUGGGAGGGGGAUCGGCCACCCUGGGACUGAGACACGGCCCAGACUCCUACGGGAGGCAGCAGUAGGGAAUCUUCGGCAAUGGACGGAAGUCUGACCGAGCAACGCCGCGUGAGUGAAGAAGGUUUUCGGAUCGUAAAGCUCUGUUGUAAGAGAAGAACGAGUGUGAGAGUGGAAAGUUCACACUGUGACGGUAUCUUACCAGAAAGGGACGGCUAACUACGUG
rnacentral:rRNA from 1 species